rnacentral:rRNA from 1 species
UGGGGAAUAUUGCACAAUGGGCGAAAGCCUGAUGCAGCAACGCCGCGUGAAUGAUGAAGGUCUUCGGAUCGUAAAGUUCUGUUGCAGGGGAAGAUAAUGACGGUACCCUGUGAGGAAGCCCCGGCUAACUACGUGCCAGCAGCCGCGGUAAUACGUAGGGGGCUAGCGUUAUCCGGAUUUACUGGGCGUAAAGGGUGCGUAGGUGGUCCUUCAAGUCGGUGGUUAAAGGCUACGGCUCAACCGUAGUAAGCCGCCGAAACUGGAGGACUUGAGUGCAGGAGAGGAAAGUGGAAUUCCCAGUGUAGCGGUGAAAUGCGUAGAUAUUGGGAGGAACACCAGUAGCGAAGGCGGCUUUCUGGACUGCAACUGACACUGAGGCACGAAAGCGUGGGGAGCAAACAGGAUUAGAUACCCUGGUAGUCCACGCUGUAAACGAUGAGUACUAGGUGUCGGGGGUUACCCCCCUCGGUGCCGCAGCUAACGCAUUAAGUACUCCGCCUGGGGAGUACGCACGCAAGUGUG